GCUUAGCUGGCACCAGAUGGUUCUGGCGGCCGUGAGGUGCUGCCGGAUGAAAAGGGAAUGCGGUGAGGACGACCCCCUGGAGGGGACCGAGACCGCGGCUGCCCCCGCAACUGUGAGCGGAGAACGACAUCCUUCAAGCCACUGGCCAAAGCCGGGAAGGCGGAUGACGUGACGACCCGCGAGCCAGGAGACCUGCCAUCUGAAGCCGGGCCUU
rnacentral:ncRNA from 2 species